rnacentral:lncRNA from 1 species
UCAGAGUGGAAUAGUGGCAGAGUUGCAGACGACCCCCGCACGGAAGUGCAACAACAAUCAGUCAGUCAGUCAAUCACUCAGUCAGUUCUUCCACAGUGCUGGCAGUGGCAUACCUAAGCAGCGCAUGUGGGACGGCAUCAAUGAUUGCUGCAGUAACGGAGAGGAUGAGUUUGUGCAGCUGUGUGGCAUUGAGGAGUGCCGGGAGAAGAAUGUAGGGUGUGUGUGAGUCUGUUUACAUCAACACUCGAGAGUCAUACUACUGCCAGUGCCGGCCAUGCAGGGUACAGACUCGUGUCAGAAAGUUCAAGUGUGAAGACGUUGACGAGUGCGUGGAGUCGCCCAGAUCU